CCGAUCUUAGCUCAGUUGGUAGAGCGGAGGACUGUAGAUCCUUAGGUCGCUGGUUCGAUUCCGGCAGAUCGGA